rnacentral:lncRNA from 1 species
UUAUGAUAAGUUACAGGAGUAAUGAAAUGUCAAGUUUCUUUGCUUUAGGUUGGAAUUCAAGUUGGUUUUAAAGACAUAAAAGGGAUAAAAGUAAGAGGAUGGAAGAAGAGAGAGCAUGCAAAUGCUAAUCAAAAGAAAAGAUUGUAGCUGCCCUGUAGCAGAUAUGGUGGAUAGGAGUGACCACACGAAACACCACAAAGAACAGUGGAGAGUUUACCAGCCCCACUCACAAAGCAGGCUGACAGCACUGCUCUGAUCAAUAGAGAACAGUCAUCUUGUCCACCUCGUGCUUGGCGCAUAGAAAGCAAAAAAGCGAAAUCUAAACUUCCCAC